AGAGUUUGAUCAUGGCUCAGAAUGAACGCUGCGGCGUGCCUAACACAUGCAAGUCGAACGAGAAAGUCUCUUCGGAGAUGAGUACAGUGGCGGACGGGUGAGUAACGCGUGAGAAUUUACCCUUUAGUGAGGAAUAACUUCGAGAAAUUGAAGGUAAUACCGCAUAAGCCCCAAGGGGGAAAGGUGGCCUCAAGCUGCCGCUAAAGGAUAAGCUUGCGUACUAUUAGCUAGUUGGUAGGGUAAAGGCCUACCAAGGCGAUGAUGGUUAGCCGGCCUGAGAGGGUGUUCGGCCACAUUGGAACUUAGACACGGUCCAAACUCCUACGGGAGGCAGCAGUGAGGAAUAUUGCACAAUGGGCGAAAGCCUGAUGCAGCGACGCCGCGUGGAGGAUGAAGGUCUUAGGAUUGUAAACUCCUGUUAAGUGGGAAGAAAACUAUGUUUCUAAUAAAAAUGUAGAAUGACGGUACCACUAAAGAAAGCACCGGCUAACUUCGUGCCAGCAGCCGCGGUAAUACGAAGGGUGCUAGCGUUAUUCGGAAUUACUGGGCGUAAAGGGUAUGUAGGCGGUUUAUUAAGUCUGUUGUUAAAUCUCUCAGCCUAACUGGGAGUCGGCGAUAGAAACUGGUUCACUAGAGUGUGGGAGAGAGAGGUGGAAUUCUCGGAGUAGCGGUAAAAUGCGUAGAUCUCGAGAGGAACACCGAUGGCGAAGGCAGCCUCUUGGCCCACUACUGACGCUGAGAUACGAAAGCGUGGGGAGCAAACAGGAUUAGAUACCCUAGUAGUCC
rnacentral:rRNA from 1 species